rnacentral:rRNA from 1 species
AGCAGCCGCGGUAAUUCCAGCUCCAAUAGCGUAUAUUAAAGUUGUUGCAGUUAAAAAGCUCGUAGUUGAAUUUCGGGAUCAAUGCGUCGGUCGUGCUUUCGGGUACGUACUGGUGUCAUUGGUUUCUCCUUUCUGACGAGCCGUGAUGUCAUUAAUUUGGUGUUACGGGUAGUUAGGACUGUUACUUUGAAAAAAUUAGAGUGUUUAAAGCAAGCUAACGCUUGAAUACAUUAGCAUGGAAUAAUGAAAUAGGACGUUCGAUCCUAUUUUGUUGGUUUCUAGGAUUGACGUAAUGAUUAAUAGGGAUAGUUGGGGGCAUUAGUAUUCAAUUGUCAGAGGUGAAAUUCUUGGAUUUAUUGAAGACUAACUACUGCGAAAGCAUUUGCCAAGGAUGUUUUCAUUAAUCAAGAACGAAAGUUAGGGGAUCGAAGACGAUCAGAUACCGUCGUAGUCCUAACCAUAAACUAUGCCGACUAGGGAUCGGAUGAUGUUAAUUUUUUAAUGACUCAUUCGGCGCCUU